rnacentral:rRNA from 1 species
UGGUGAGGUAAAGGCUCACCAAGGCAGUGAUACGUAGCCGACCUGAGAGGGUAAUCGGCCACAUUGGGACUGAGACACGGCCCAGACUCCUACGGGAGGCAGCAGUAGGGAAUCUUCCACAAUGGACGCAAGUCUGAUGGAGCAACGCCGCGUGAGUGAAGAAGGGUUUCGGCUCGUAAAGCUCUGUUGUUAAAGAAGAACGUGGGUAAGAGUAACUGUUUACCCAGUGACGGUAUUUAACCAGAAAGCCACGGCUAACUAC